rnacentral:lncRNA from 13 species
GGGCUCUCUUUUCAGUUCAUUUCUCUCCCUCUUCUCAAUGGUCUUCCAUGCUGCUAGAAGCCCAGCAUGAGUUCAGUAGGUACCACGCUUCUCUUCCAGGUUACUGAAAAGGAAGUGUUCCUACUUGCUCUUGAAUCUUCUUUUUUUUCCAAUAAUAUUUUCCUCACUGUCUUUUUAAAAACUUUUAAUUGACAUAUUACAUAUAUAAUAGUGCAUAAUUCAUAGGGAUUCAGCUUGAAGAAUUUUUGCAAACUGACAGACAUAUACACCCAAAGACCAACUUUGCCAGAUAAAGACACAGGCACUACCAGAAACCCAUUCAUAGUCUCUUUCUAGCACUAACUCUCCAGUGGUAAUAAUUAUCUGCAGACUUAACACAGUAGCUUAGCUUUCUUUUUUAAAGUCAGAUUUAAUUUACAUAUUCAUCUUUUUUGACAAAGGCAUCUAGUCAUGUGAUCAUGCCACAAUAAAGAUGUACAGAAUGUUUUGUCUAAUUUCCCUUGUGCCCCUCUCUAGUUCUCCUCCUUCCCUCCUACCCCUUCCAGCCCCUUGCAAUCAACACUCUUUUCUCUCCCUAUACAUGGUUUUGUGGUUUUCAGAAUAGAAAGAGUAAUAUAGCAUAUAGUACACAGCCUUCUGCGCUGAUACAUAGGUACGUGCCUGUUUCACUUCAUAAAGAAACUGAAAUUGCCAAAUGUUUUCAGAAGUAGCUGACCCGGCUUCUGGUGGGACCUCUGACUCAGCGGAUGGCCUUUUGUUUCUCCAGCAGCUGAUGCAACAGGCUGCCACUGCUGAGUGCUACUGUGAUAUCAGCAGAUCUUGACAUGAUGGGCAGCUGCAGGCUCCAGUGGCCUCUGGUGUUUUCACCAGUGACAGGAUUCCAAAAGCCGAAGCAGUGAAUGAUGUCAGUGAAGAAUAUGCCCCGGGCUCUGGAUACGAAAGAAAAAGACUUAGAGACACAGGGAAGUAGGCCAUGUGAAGACAGAGGCAGAGAUGGGAGCGAUGCUGCCACAAGCCAAGGAACACCAGGAGCCACCAGAAGCUGGAAGAGGGACAUGGAUGAACCUGGAGACCAUCAUUCUCAGCAAACUGACACAAGAACAGAAAAUGAAAUACUGCAUGUUUUCACUCAUAGGUGGCUGUUGAACAAUGAGAACACAUG